AUUGAACGCUGGCGGCAGGCCUAACACAUGCAAGUCGAGCGGCAGCGGGAAAGUAGCUUGCUACUUUUGCCGGCGAGCGGCGGACGGGUGAGUAAUGCCUGGGAAAUUGCCCAGUCGAGGGGGAUAACAGUUGGAAACGACUGCUAAUACCGCAUACGCCCUACGGGGGAAAGCAGGGGACCUUCGGGCCUUGCGCGAUUGGAUAUGCCCAGGUGGGAUUAGCUAGUUGGUGAGGUAAUGGCUCACCAAGGCGACGAUCCCUAGCUGGUCUGAGAGGAUGAUCAGCCACACUGGGACUGAGACCCGGUCCAGAGUCCUACGGGAGGCAGCAGUGGGGAAUAUUGCACAAUGGGGGAAACCCUGAUGCAGCCAUGCCGCGUGUGUGAAGAAGGCCUUCGGGUUGUAAAGCACUUUCAGCGAGGAGGAAAGGUUGAUGCCUAAUACGUAUCAACUGUGACGUUACUCGCAGAAGAAGCACCGGCUAACUCCGUGCCAGCAGCCGCCGCAGUAA
rnacentral:rRNA from 1 species